GUGCCAGCAGCCGCGGUAAGACAGAGGGUGCAAGCGUUGUUCGGAAUUAUUGGGCGUAAAGGGCGCGUAGGCGGCGCUGUAAGUCAGAUGUGAAAUCCCAGGGCUCAACCCUGGAAGUGCGUCUGAUACUGCAGUGCUUGAGUCUCGGAGAGGAUGGUGGAAUUCCCAGUGUAGAGGUGAAAUUCGUAGAUAUUGGGAGGAAUACCGGUGGCGAAGGCGACCAUCUGGACGAAGACUGACGCUGAGGCGCGAAAGCGUGGGGAGCAAACAGGAUUAGAAACCCUCGUAGUCC
rnacentral:rRNA from 1 species